CUUCUUCGUUGGUGUCUUCCUCUUCGUCCCUAGCUAUGUUCGUCCCCUAUUUCACUUUCCUGCUUAACGGCUCAUUUCUCUUCUUCUCCGCUGUGGAUCUGCCUCCACAGCACGCUACUGCCACCUUUAGGCAAGCAGGAGGAAGACAAAAGGGCUCCCAGGUAGCACAACACAUCUUCAAAAACUGGGCUCAACGGGCUGGAGUCACUGAGGUCACUGCCAGGACACAGACCAGACCACAAAAGGCAGUAGAGAUCAGCCACAACAUUAACACAUUACAAAGUGUUUUCAUGUUGUAGGUGAUCAGUGUAUUUGCACCGAAUCAAACAUGCCACCAAGGGCUAAUAAAUUCAACUACAAACUGA